AUUCGUGUCAAGGUGUGAUGUGAAUAGGUGCGGAGUAAAUCCCCCAAAAAAAUCUUAAAUAAUAUGCGAUGAGGUAGCACCGGUUACUUAAAAAUAACUAAACAACAUCUAAGUAAUAUGCCUUAACUCUUUUGUGUUAUAAACCUUUUAAUAGUUUUCGCGGGAAUGCCGAACAUUAAUAAUGCCUGCGCCGCCAAUGACGAAUACGAAGUCAUUGGCGAGACGCAGUGGCAAGUUAUCGAGAGCAGCGGCGAUGAGCAGACCAUCAACAUCCAUGGCUUCACGUAUUCCAAAUUACGCGCAGCUUUAUUACACACCGUGUGCAUAUUACUAUGUGGAUUACCAUAUUUUGCCCUCGCUUAUUAUCCAUCGUACAACAGAUUCAAAUACAUAAAAUGCAGUUUGAAAACGGCUAAAGAAAUUUGUGUUAUCGAUGCAGACGGCGGGUGGACCACAGAGAAAGUGCUUGAGAUCGACCUGAACCUAUCCAACCAUAAAGAUAACAGACUGCGAUAUUUUAUGUACAAGCACAACCGUUUCAUUUGGCUUAAUGAUCAAGGAAUCUUCAUUAAUGUUCUUGCACUCAAUGAGAAACUCACUAUUCAGUUGUUGAUGGAAAACAUGUCCGGCAUAAAUAAACGACAGCAAAACGAAUUGAUCAAACUGUAUGGCACCAACUCAGUAGAAGUAGAAGUUAAGAGUUACUGGACCCUGUUCGUCGAAGAAGUGUUCAAUCCAUUCUAUUUAUUCCAAGUCUUCUCCAUUAUACUUUGGUCUUUGGACGAGUAUUAUCAGUAUGCUACUUGCGUUUUCCUCCUGUCCGUUGCGACCUGUAUGCUGGCGUUAUAUCAAACGAAAAAGAUGAGCAUCAACCUGCACAAAAUGGCCGGUUCUACCAGCGCUUUUACCGUAACCGUUUUGCGUCCAACCCGCUCGGGCCGUGAGGAGUGCGUGGUGAACGCUUGUCGACUCGUUCCAGGAGAUGUACUAGUGCUGCCACCUGACGGCUGUGUGAUGCCUUGCGAUACCAUGCUCCUUACUGGAACCUGCAUCGUUGAUGAAAGCAUGCUUACAGGUGAAAGCGUGCCCGUAAUGAAAGGCCCCCCUUGCUCGUCUGCAGAAAUCUAUUCAACCGAAGGACACAAAAGACACACUUUAUUUGCUGGCACCCAUGUUUUGCAAACACGAUUUUAUGGCAACAAUCAGGUUUUAGCUAAAGUCGUACGCACUGGAUUUUACACAGCCAAAGGAGAACUGCUAAAAAGUAUUCUGUUUCCGAAGCCAUUUGGGUUCCAAUUCUACAAGGAUGCCGUCAAGUUUGUCAUAUUCAUGUUCUGCAUUGCCGCGAUCGGAAUGGGAUACUCUAUCUGGCUGUAUGUCGUGCGAGGAAGUCUCGUAGGCACAAUAGUGCUCCGCACCCUGGACAUCAUCACGAUCGUAGUGCCGCCCGCACUGCCGGCCGCCAUGACAGCCGGCAUCGUCUACAGUCAGAACCGACUGCGCAAAAACAGGAUCUUCUGCGUAUCUCCGCCUAGGAUUGUCAUUUGUGGAAAACUACAAGUUAUGUGUUUUGAUAAGACUGGCACCCUAACCGAAGACGGAUUAGACUUCUACUCCGUAAUACCGGCUCGGUCGGGUGAGAAGUUCGGCGAAUGUGUAGUGGAUGUCGGCGGCUUACCCGUGACCAGCCCCUUGAUCCAAGCGCUGGCGUCCUGUCACUCGCUCACUAGUAUACAAGGACAGCUCAAAGGUGAUCCUCUGGACUUGAAGAUGUUUGAAUUCACGCAGUGGAUACUUGAAGAACCGGGCCCGGAAAACACACGGUAUGACAACUUGACACCAGCUAUCGUGAAGCCCGUCACUGGCAACAAUGAAGCUCUGCAGAAUUUGGAAGACUAUGAUCCCUUCACCAUGGAGAUUCCAUAUGAGAUCGGUUUGCUUCGACGGUUCCACUUCUCAUCAGCGCAACAAUCAAUGGGUGUUAUUGCUCGAGUGCUUGGACAGCCUCAAAUGGUUUAUUUCGUAAAGGGAGCACCUGAAAAGGUCGCUGGUAUGUGCAAUCCAGAUACUCUACCAGAGAAUUUCAGCUCAAUCCUCAACGAGUAUACCUCAAACGGUUUCCGAGUAAUCGGUCUUGCCCACAAGAAGCUCGAUCGUAAAAUGAAAUGGGUCGACGCACAAAGAGUCAAGAGAACUAGUCUUGAGUGCGAUAUGGCUUUCCUAGGCUUUCUAGUCAUGCAAAAUAGCCUGAAACCAGAGACGACCCAAGUCAUACGCGAGCUACAUGAUGCUUCUAUGAGACUGAUUAUGGUCACAGGGGAUAACAUAAUGACUGCAAUGUCGGUGGCACGAGGCUGUUGCAUGGUGCAACCACAUGAAAAGCUAUUACUGAUCACCGCAGGACAGCCACAGACUAACGACACCCGCCCUCCGCUCAUUAUGGAGGUGGUUGGUGACGGCGGGCCUCCUAAAUUGCCAUUAGAUGCAUAUGUGUUAGCUUUGGAGGGCAAAACAUGGGCUGUGAUACGUACCCAUUAUCCUGAACUAAUGCCGGUCGUAUUAACUAAAGGCAUGGUAUUCGGUCGCUUCGGUCCUGACCAGAAGACGCAGCUGGUGACGGCACUGCAGGGCGAAGACCUGGUGGUGGGCAUGUGCGGUGACGGCGCCAAUGAUUGCGGCGCUUUGAAGGCCGCGCAUGUCGGGAUAUCGCUCUCCGAGGCUGAUGCUUCAGUUGCGGCCCCAUUCACAUCUCAAGAGCAGAAUAUCAAGUGCGUGAAGCUGCUCGCUCUCGAAGGACGCUGUGCGCUGAGCACCUCAUUCGCAAUAUUCAAAUACAUGGCUCUAUAUUCGCUCAUCCAGUUUUUCUCGAUUCUCAUCCUGUACAAUUUCUACUCAAUCCUCGGCAACAACCAGUUCCUAUACAUCGACCUGGUACUAACAACCCUGCUGGCUCUAUCCCUGGGCCGCGCGUCUCCGGGCCCGCUGCUGACGCGGCAGUCUCCGCCCGUGUCGCUGGUGGCACUGUCCAGUAUACUGCCGCUCGUCAUACAGGUGUCCUUGGUGCUGUUGAUGCAGAUAGCUUCGAUAUAUUUGCUGUAUGCUCAGCCUUGGUUCAAACCGGUUGAAGGCGGUCCAGACGUAGAACAAGUGCUAUGUUGGGAGAACACGGUCCUCUUCAUAAUAACGGCAUUCCAGUAUUUAAUCAUGGCUUGCGUUUACGCUAAAGGCUGGCCUUUCAGACAACCAUUCUGCACUAAUUAUUACAUGAUGAUAACCCUGGUAACCCAGUCCAUCUUCGUGACCGUACUGCUGCUAUGUCCAUGGCAUUGGCUGGCAGAAUUCAUGGAAGUGGAACCCAUGGCUUCAGCUGACUCCGAACAGACCAUGUUCCGUAUAUACCUGCUGCUCAUACCCGCGUUGCAUCUUAUACUGGCUAUAGCUGUUGAGGCGACGCUAUCGGACUCGGACAAGUUCUCCCGGCUGGGCCGAGCCAUGCGGCGGCGCUGCGACAAGCAGGCGGCCGGCGACGCCGCCAGCCCGCUGUGGCCCGAGCCCCACGACCACGUGCAGCUCUGCUGACUGACUCAACAACACAUACUGACACAACUCUUCAUUUAAAUCUAUUCUAUGACCUUUAUAGCCCAAGUUCACUCACAACAUAAACGCCAGUUUUCUCAAAACAACUAUAAAUUUAACCUGAAAAUUCAAAGUAAAUAGUUGUUUAAAAAAACUGACGCUUAUGUUGUCAGUAUAAGACAGUUGUCUGUCUGAUAUUUGGUAUACGAAAGGUUGAGGACCAAGUUCACCGACAACGUAACUUGAAGUUUGAAUUUGCAAGUAUAGACUACCAAACCAGUGUACGAGGGUCCAACCGUUUUCGAAUCAAAACAUACGUACCAAAAAAUACAUACAGAGGAAUUAAGAACUUUGUUUUGGAAGUUGGUUGAAAAGUAGGUAACAUAAAUAUCCUUUAGAUGAGAUACGAAUAGUCGAUGAACUUGGACCUGAAUAUUUCAUCUCGCUCGUCCUUCGUGCCGCCGGGACUGUCCCGCCCUAUAGUUACCUUGAACUCCGUAGUGAUAGCCGAGGUGCUACCGAACGAUCAGUUCGAGCUACCUCCCCUUUGUGUUACUAAUUACUUAAUAAAAAAAUAUUUAUUUUUAUCAGUCGGCGAAAAUCUUAAUUAUUUUCGUUUAGUUGGCUGUUACUUAAUUUUAAGUCCGAAUCUAGUAAAAUUAUACUAUUGCCGUUAAUUUUGGCGCUGGCGCUUUGUAUAUCUGUCGAUAUGCAGUUAGGGUUGAGCUAGACUUGCAAGUAUGUAAAAUAACUUCAUGAUUUCAUAAGCAUAAAUGUUUUAUGCGUUGCACCCUACGCACAGUGGUCGUCAUCCAUUCAGAGGUAAAGAGUACACUUUACCCAGUACGACACAAAUAUUUGGUACGAGACAUUUCGUCUGGACAAAAGCAUAUCAACACUUGCAAGUAUUAGUUCAACCCUAACUGUAUAUCUGGUCAUCUUAUUCCUUGUCGAAACAGCAAUAUACAGUCUUUUGCGUUGUGAUAACGCACGAUGUAUUUUCCACUCUGAAUAGGAUUGACUCGACAUCUGCUGUGAUAAACGAACUCUGAAACUUCUAGCGCUCAAUAUCAUUCACGUAUCAUUGUAGCAUUUCUGUACUAUUUUGUUUUAAAUGUAGUUAUUAUACCAAUUACAGUACUUUACUCUUAAGGCUGUAUUAAAGUCAUCAAUUUAUCUACUUAAUUAAAUUGCUGAUAUUACAUAAGUUACUUAAUUUAUGUAAUUCCGUGUAUUCAUCGAGUCUGUCAAGUAUGAUGUUUGUAAAAAAGUGAGAAGGCGUUAUCGGAAUAGGCAAUCUCAUCAACUCAAUCGAGUAUAAAAAAAACUUAAACACUUGUACGCACUUGAUAAGAAUAAGACGAAGAACAUGAUAAUUUAAAUAAAUUACCAAAUAUAUUUGGUUACGCUUAAUGGUAUGAAAAAGGUAACUACUUAAGCGGGUGUAGUUCGUUAAGAUUCAACACUCGAAUAACUUUACGUUCCGCCUUAAUAUUGCCCCUUAACCAUGGAGGAUAAAUAUGAUUAUGUUUGCACAAAGAUAUUAUACUGCAAACUUAUCUUUCAUCUCAAAAACAUGUUACUUAAACGAUUAACAUAGGUAAUAAUCGAAUUUACUAUUGUUUAUAAAAGGGCCAUUACAGAGUUCUUAAACAAUACUUUUGAUGCCUACCACUCGCGCUGCCAAUUGUUUAAUAUAGUGCCAAAACUUGACAGACUCUUGUAAAAUCCUUGUAAUGUCACCUGUUAUGUAUUACAAUAUUUACCUGCAACAGUACAAAACUUGUUAGCUGGUGUGUAAACUAUAAAAACGAACACUGACAUACAUUGCAGACACGUUUAUCAUCACAUACACACUACCACCUCUCAUCAUCUUCAUAGAAUCAUCUCCUAGUGCAAAUAUCUUUAAUUCUUUUAAACAAAGGUUGUCACAAAAAAGAAACAUUGGAAAACAAAUGAGUUUCCCCUAGCUUUUCUUUUUUAUUUCAUAGAAAUAUUUUACAGAAAUCAAUUUAUUAGCAAAUGUUAGUCCUAUAAAAUGAAAUCAUGGAUUUAGGAAUAUAAGUUGAAUCCUACUUAUUUUAUUAUUGUAAAUAUAGAUAAAAUUAUGAAUUGAAAUUACGUAUGUUUGGGUAUGCGCGAUUAGUUUAAGAUAAAUGAUUUGUGAUUUUGCAUUUCGCCCGUAAUUCCCAUACUAAUAGAGUUUACUCAGGCUUUAUUUAUUUCAUUUUACUAUAAUGUAACUCAACUCCUACAGAUUAUCAGUCCUUGAUGACUAUCUGAAUACCAAAUAAAACAAUCAUAAAUGUUUUUUGCUGUAUUGUAUUAUUAUCGUAAAAUAUAUUUAAAAGGUGCACAAAUUGUGACAAAAAAGUUAUUUUAUUUUACGGUGCUACUUAAAUUAUUUUUCAAUUUAAUUUAACACUAUUAUAAUAGCGGUUAAUAACAUCAAAUUAUUUAAUACCCACCUCUUAGAACCCCGAAAGAUAUUAUAUAAUUACUUAUUUUCUUAUAUUUAACACAUUACAAUAAUGUAAUUAAGAUUACUAGUAAUAGUUGUGCGUAAACCACAAUGAGACAUGUUUUAAGAAGUUAUGUUACACCGUGUGGCACAGUUUACACUCGCAUCCUUGUUCUACGGAGCUCCUCCUCGUCUACCUUAUUAUAAUAUACGUAUUAUUAAACAUAACAUAUUUGUAGAGUGCAAUUUUAUUGCAUUAAUCAUUGGUAUUGUCAAGUAAUGUAAGAUACAAACCAGUGAGCGAGCAGCAUUCCGAUUUGUGUACUGUUCAAACCAAAGGAUCGUCUUAAACUGUUUAAAUGUUUUAACGUAAUGUUCCAUGACUGCGUCUUACACCUUUGUUAAUAGUAAAAAUAUGAUGCAGCACAAUUUUAUUAUUGUAUGUGUGUAGGUUAAUCAUAUUAUAAACUUUUCAUUCAGACAGCGAUACCGCAAUUCACAUUCUCUGAACGUUCUAGAAGUAUUACAUUAUAUAAUGUUAUAUACUAAGUCGUAGAAAUAGUCCCUUUUCAUUGUGGGUUUGAAAGGUAUUAUGAUGAAGCCAAAGUUGCUAGGAUUCGUUGAAAGAAAUAGUUUGGAAAUGGCAUUGUAGGUAAAUAAACUUUUUUGGUAAUAGAAUUUGCAAUUUUUAUGUGUCUAUGUUAUAUGUAAUCAAGAUACAAUAAGUAGAUAUGUAAGUUAAAAAUCUGUGAACUUCAUUUGGACGUUGCGAUAAAAAUACAAUCAGCAUUAUUAAGUAAUAUCUAAUGUUCAGAAACGAUGCAAGAGUAUUAUGAUUCAAUCAUUCGGCGAUUACCGCCCAAUGAGUGAAACGUGUGAGUAAUAGAUUGCCGAGGCAAUUUAUUAAUGCAAUAUUAGUAAUAUUUAUGUUUGAUUAGUCAGAAAUUUCAUUCCUUGUUUUUAGUACUUAGACGUUUGGUGCUGCGUAUGAUUUAGUACCUUUUGUUCAUAGAUAAAAACGUAAAAAUUAAAUAUGUAUAGAAUACACAGAUCACUCGAAAUGUUUCGGAACUUAUAUUUUUUUGUAAACUUGUUAUUUAUUGAACUGCAUUAUUGUGGUCGUUUUUUUAGACUUUACUGCAUGUAUGUUUAUAUUUCUCGAAUUUUGGAACUUGUUGACUGUUUUUGUGUCCAAUUGUCACAAUAAUGUAGUUCGAUAUAAAUUUUACUAAUUGCGACAUUAGAAUGGAUGUAUGACCAAAAAUAUUGGAAUAAAUAUUAACUGAAAUA
rnacentral:misc_RNA from 1 species